rnacentral:rRNA from 1 species
CAGCCGCCGCGGUAAAACGUAGGUGGCAAGCGUUGUCCGGAAUUAUUGGGCGUAAAGGGCUCGCAGGCGGUUUCUUAAGCCUGAUGUGAAAGCCCCCGGCUCAACCGGGGAGGGUCAUUGGAAACUGGGAAACUUGAGUGCAGAAAAGGAGAGUGGAAUUCCACGUGUAGCGGUGAAAUGCGUAGAGAUGUGGAGGAACACCAGUGGCGAAGGCGACUCUCUGGUCUGUAACUGACGCUGAGGAGCGAAAGCGUGGGGAGCGAACAGGAUUAGAUACCCCAGUAGUCCCUGUCUCUUAUAC